rnacentral:rRNA from 1 species
UACGUAGGGGCCUAGCGUUGUCCGGAAUUACUGGGCGUAAAGCGUGCGUAGACGGUUAUGUAAGUCGGGUGGGAAAGCCCCGGGCUCAACCUGGGAAUUGCAUUCGAGACUGUGUAGCUAGGGUACGGAAGAGGGAAGCGGAAUUUCAGGUGUAGCGGUGAAAUGCGUAGAUAUCUGAAGGAACACCAGUGGCGAAAGCGGCUUCCUGGUCCAGUACCGACGUUCAGGCACGAAAGCGUGGGGAGCAAACAGG